CUUUUGAUUUAUUUCCCAGGUGGUGCAUUUGAGUGGGACGAUGACUUCCCAUCUCCAGAGCCCAAUUUCCUUUCAAAGGCAGCCAGUGAUCAUUCUGCCAGUAGGCCCAGUGGGACCUCGGCGGCUUCUAAGUAUUUCUCACCACCCCCUGCGAACCGCACCCUGGAGCAGAGCUGGAACAGUCCCUCCAACUACUCGCGCUUCUCCAUCUCCCCAGCCAGCAUCGCCAGCUUCUCCCUCACCCACCUCACAGACUCUGACAUUGAGCAAGGGGGAAGCAGUGAAGACGGAGAGAAAGAUUAAACAAUCUAUCAGACACGCAUAAAUAUUGGAGAUAUGUCGCGGAUGUAUUUGAUUUGAAGGCUUUGAUUGCUUCUCAGCAUUGGUAUUUAUUUGGGGAUAUGAAGGGGCCUGCAGAGACUGAGCUGAUGGCAACCUGUUUUCUGCACAGUCGUCUGGUUUUCCAUAAACUAUGAUUUGCUAUGUUUUUCUUCAGUGCAAUUUGGAGGAACCUUGCUUCACAUAUGCUUUCAGAAACUUUUGCGCACUUCCUAAAUGCCCUGCCUCACUUUUUUUCUUUUGCUCAUUUGCAGUUCUUCAUAGUGUCCACAUUUUACGUCAGAAGGAUAAAGAUGAAAUGUAUCACUCAACCAGAGGACUUUCUGUUAAACACUAAUGAGCCAAUAGACUCGAAACUCAGUUGUGCAAUUGGAAUCGUAUAAUACUUGCCUUUUAUUUUAACACACUGGAUUUUAUUUCAUUUUUUAUGUGAAAUCUAGCGUGACGAGCUUAUUUAUAUGAUCGUGUAAUGGAUUUGAUGUCCAAUAGAAGCAACAGGGGUCUCCACAGAUAUUUUUGUACAGUGUUUGGACUACUUACAAGCCACUUUCACCCAAGCAACAACUAGCGUAGUUUCAGUGACAUGUUUUGUAUUAAAAGAUGUAGAAGUCAGGAUACGGGCAGCUGGAGAGUUUUGACUAUGAGAUGCUAAGUCUAACGUAGUGAGCAUUCUUUGUCGUUGCAGUCUGUUCAUGAGGAAUACACGGAGUGCUGCGCAUCAGGGCUUUUAGCUGUA